UCGAGGAUCAUUCGCAAUGGGCGAAAGCCUGACGAUGCGACGCUGCGUGGAGGAUGAAGGCCCUCGGGUCGUAAACUCCUGUCAUGAGGGAAGAGGGAAGCGCGGGUAACAUCCGCGCGACUUGACGGUACCUCAAGAGGAAGCCAUGGCUAACUCUGUGCCAGCAGCCGCGGUAAUACAGAGGUGGCGAGCGUUGGUCGGAUUUACUGGGCGUAAAGGGCGCGUAGGCGGCCGCGUGUGUGGGGUGUGAAAUCUCCGGGCUCAACCCGGAAAGUGCGCCCCAAACUGCGCG
rnacentral:rRNA from 1 species